rnacentral:lncRNA from 1 species
UUUGAAUUGUCGAGGAUUGGCCACAAUAGUCAUCAAGCUGUCAAUCUCAGCGGCCGAAAGCUCACCAGCCCUACAACAGUUGUUUCCAAGAUAAAAUUUUCGAUCAGGUCAGUCCUGAACUUAAGUCAGGAGCAAAAACCAAGGUUUCCAUACAAUCUAAAUUCAUAAGCGUAAUUAGCAUGAAAUUAAAACCUUAAACCCAAAGUAAAAUGCUAUCACAACAUGAUGUACGUUGAAUAACAUAUAAAGCCUCCUAUUGGUCUAUAAAAAAACAGACCAUAGCUUGAUGAACGAAAAUGUAUUGGACAAAAUAUACUCAAGCUCCAUUUCAUCCCAUGGAACUGGUGGUUACCAAAUUCACAAUAGUAGAAGUAGGAGCGAAUCC